rnacentral:lncRNA from 1 species
AAAAUCUUUAUUUUAUUUUUAUGUGAUGCUGAGGAUUGAACCCAGUGCCUCAGGCAUGCUAGGCGAGCUCUACCCUCUGAGCCACAACCCCAGCCCCAAGAACAGUGUUUUAAGGACUGAAAUUCAUGAAGUCAGAGGAGGACUGUCUUGUUCCUCUGUAUCAUGCCAUCCCCUCCCAAAGCUCCUAGCAGUGAGGAUGCCAGGUGGAAAAGCUCUGGGAAUCUUGUGCAAUGCUUUAGCACCCACGGAACAGAAGUGAAGUUGAACCACACCCAGCAAAUAACUACCACUAUAAAAAAAAUGCAUCCUCUGAGGUGCCUUUCCAUGUGACAAGUCACAAUGUUGUAACUUGUCACACAUUUUUCCAAACAAUCCCUAAUCCCGUUGUUCUUACUUAGAUCAGAAGCACAGAGUGGACAUGUCUAUACUCCCUUACCAACCCAGUGAACUUGGGAAUGGGGGCCAUAGCCCAUGUCACAGCAGCCACAGAUAACAAACCACCCACAUGAGCACCCUGUUUAUUUUAAAAUAAUAGGUCCUCUGAGAAUCCACAUGACAUCCCAAGUGCUGGAUGGUACAUCUGAAAGUGCUGAGAGAGCUGAAAAGUACACACAGCCAAGCAAGUCCCUGCUGAAUACACAUCUAAGGAGGUUUGCAUGUAUUGUUUAUCCCAGCAACUUUAUGGAAUAAAUUACGUACAACAAAUUAGUUUCAGAUGUAGGAUGUGAAUAGCUGAUGUGCAGUAUAAAGGAAGGUGAACUCCCACUUAUGACCCAACCAUUUCCCCUCUUGGGCAUCUCAGACUCAGAAUCCAGAUGCAAUUCAUUUUUGAAAUGCAGUGGGGAUCAGAAAGUUAAUAAGUGGUGAGGAUUAGAGAUUUCGAAAAGCAAUUUAUGAGUAUUGUUAACUCAUUAUAUUGUCCUAUGAUUUUAGUUGUUGUACGUGAAGCCAAGGAUAAGACUGAACCCAUACUUCCUCCAUCCCUUCAUCAUACACAGCAAUCAAAACCAAAUUCAUUCCUGACAUUUCCUACCUCCAUAGAUAUCCCAUAAUAGAUUCAACUCAAUGCAC